rnacentral:misc_RNA from 1 species
GAUGAAGAACGCAGCGAAAUGCGAUACUUGGUGUGAAUUGCAGAAUCCCGUGAACCAUCGAGUCUUUGAACGCAAGUUGCGCCCGAAGCCAUUAGGCCGAGGGCACGCCUGCCUGGGCGUCACACGUCGUUGCCCCCCCAUCUACUCCUUCGGGAUUGCGGGGGGCGGAUGAUGGCCUCCCGUGCGCCUCGCCGCGCGGUUGGCAUAAAUGCCAAGUCCUCGGCGACGCACGCCACGACAAUCGGUGGUUGCGAAACCUCGGUUGCCCGUCGUGUGCGGUCGUCGCGCAUCGAGGGCUCGAAAAAAUUGCCGGGUUCCGGCUCGGCUUUCAACGCGACCCCAGGUCAGGCGGGGUUACCCACUGAAUUUAAGCAUAUCAAUAAGCGGAGGA